CUACGGGUUGCAGCAGUGGGGAAUCUUAGACAAUGGGGGAAACCCUGAUCUAGCCAUGCCGCGUGAGCGAUGAAGGCCUUAGGGUUGUAAAGCUCUUUCAGCUGGGAAGAUAAUGACGGUACCAGCAGAAGAAGCCCCGGCUAACUCCGUGCCAGCAGGCCGCGGUAAUACGGAGGGGGCUAGCGUUGUUCGGAAUUACUGGGCGUAAAGCGCGCGUAGGCGGAUUGUUAAGUCGGGGGUGAAAUCCCGGGGCUCAACCCCGGAACUGCCUUCGAUACUGGCAAUCUUGAGGUCGAGAGAGGUGAGUGGAAUGCCGAGUGUAGAGGUGAAAUUCGUAGAUAUUCGGAGGAACACCAGUGGCGAAGGCGGCUCACUGGCUCGAUACUGACGCUGAGGUGCGAAAGCGUGGGGAGCAAACAGGAUUAGAUACCCCGGUAGUC
rnacentral:rRNA from 1 species